UGUUGUUUUGGCAGAUAAAUGUAAUAAAUUUAGAAUUUAUAAAUGUAAAAUAUUUUACAAACAACAA
rnacentral:tRNA from 1 species